rnacentral:rRNA from 1 species
GACGGAGGAUGCAAGCGUUAUCCGGAAUGAUUGGGCGUAAAGCGUCUGCAGGUGGCAGUUCAAGUCUGCUGUCAAAGACCGGGGCUUAACUUCGGAAAGGCAGUGGAAACUGAACAGCUAGAGUAUGGUAGGGGCAGAGGGAAUUCCUGGUGUAGCGGUGAAAUGCGUAGAGAUCAGGAAGAACAUCGGUGGCGAAGGCGCUCUGCUGGACCAUAACUGACACUCAGGGAUGGAAGCUAGGGGAGCGAAUGGG